rnacentral:ncRNA from 2 species
GAUAAACUUCAGGGCAGGGUGAGCUUUUAAUUAGCAAUUCCCGACCGGCGGUGAUAGUCCGCGAAACCUUCGGGUUUGAUUUGGUGAAACUCCAAAACCGACAGUAUAGUCUGGAUGGAAGAAGUGUUUU